GACGAACGCUGGCGGCGUGCCUAAUACAUGCAAGUAGAACGCUGAAGGAGGAGCUUGCUUCUCUGGAUGAGUUGCGAACGGGUGAGUAACGCGUAGGUAACCUGCCUGGUAGCGGGGGAUAACUAUUGGAAACGAUAGCUAAUACCGCAUAAGAGUAGAUGUCGCAUGACAUUUGCUUAAAGGGUGCAAUUGCAUCACUACCAGAUGGACCUGCGUUGUAUUAGCUAGUUGGUGAGGUAACGGCUCACCAAGGCAACGAUACAUAGCCGACCUGAGAGGGUGAUCGGCCACACUGGGACUGAGACACGGCCCAGACUCCUACGGGAGGCAGCAGUAGGGAAUCUUCGGCAAUGGACGGAAGUCUGACCGAGCAACGCCGCGUGAGUGAAGAAGGUUUUCGGAUCGUAAAGCUCUGUUGUAAGAGAAGAACGAGUGUGAGAGUGGAAAGUUCACACUGUGACGGUAUCUUACCAGAAAGGGACGGCUAACUACGUG
rnacentral:rRNA from 1 species